AGAAGAGGAGAUUCUGGUGGCAAUGAAAACCGCCCCCUUUCCAUUCUGCGGCCAAAGGACUGGACUCAGAGAUGUUGCUCAUGAUCCCAUGACCUGGUAAAACAAAUCACUUUGAAGGAGACAGAUGGUUGUGGCCAGGACUAAAGAGUAUACUGGAGAAGGAUAUGAUAAGAGAGCCCAAGCAAUGGUAGCUCAAUGUUUGCUCCAAAGGGUCUAACGUGAUGCAUUCAGGUGUUGCUAAAGACUGUGGCUGACAUACUGUGCAACAAUAGCUUAGCUUAGCCUAGUAACGUUGCAUGCAAGAGACAUUACAUGAGAGUAAGGCCGUUUGAAAUCAUGGGUUUAUUCUUGCAUCCCCACAGCUUGUGUGCAUGCAAUGUUACUAGGCUGACAUACUGUUGCGCAGCACGUCAGCCUAUAGUUCAGCUGAUUCGAAGAACAGGAAGUGUUACGUCUGGUCCAGUGUCGCUUCCAGCUGAAGAAGCACCUCAUGCUACUUUCAUCAUGUCACUUCCAUCUGAUCAACUUCCCUGUCCUAGCUUUCUUUUGUAAAAUUUCUCCUCAUUAUCCUGCCAAAAAUCCAACAAUCCAAAAUAUAUUUGAAUAAUAAAAUGCC